GGUCACCUGUUCAGCCAAUGGCGCUCAGGGGGCUUUACACCAAGGCGGUGAUCUCGGGCGAACUCGGGGCAUCGCUUAUGCUAAACGGAAGACAGAAA
rnacentral:ncRNA from 1 species